rnacentral:rRNA from 1 species
GUGGGGAAUAUUGGGCAAUGGGCGCAAGCCUGACCCAGCAACGCCGCGUGAGGGAAGAAGGCUUUCGGGUUGUAAACCUCUGUCCUUGGUGACGAAACAAAUGACGGUAGCCAAGGAGGAAGCCCCGGCUAACUACGUGCCAGCAGCCGCGGUAAUACGUAGGGGGCGAGCGUUGUCCGGAAUUACUGGGCGUAAAGGGUGCGUAGGUGGCCUUUUAAGUUGGAUGUGAAAUACCCGGGCUUAACUUGGGGGGUGCAUCCAAAACUGGGAGGCUAGAGUGCAGGAGAGGAAAGCAGAAUUCCUAGUGUAGCGGUGAAAUGCGUAGAUAUUAGGAGGAACACCAGUGGCGAAGGCGGCUUUCUGGACUGUAACUGACACUGAGGCACGAAAGCGUGGGGAGCAAACAGGAUUAGAAACCCUGGUAGUCC